rnacentral:lncRNA from 1 species
CAGCUGAUUUAGGACGAAUCUGAUGCGCUGAAUCCAAAAAUCACAUUGGUUUUGCUCAAUCAGGUCAAGUUUUUGAGCUAUGGCCACAGGUCGGUGUUUUACGUUUUUGUUCACAUGUACGCUUGUGUGGAGCAUUUUAGAAGAAGUUGGUGGGGUAAAAUGCCAUGUCGAAUAAUUGUUUUGAUUGGAAAUGAUUAUUUUAAUGACAAGAAGUAUUCAGGUCCGAUAGUUCUGGGUGAUUAUGUCGAAAAGGGAUCAGUUUGAAGUCAUAAAACCUCCGUUUUUUCUCGGAAGAGAAGGACUUGGUGUACUGUGCAGAUAUUGCGCAGCUUCUGCUCAAGCUUGGAGUGCCACAGUACGAACCCAAAGACUGUUCAUUGACAGCAGUAAGCAAUCACUGAAAUGUGUUCUGCUACACAACGGCAACCAGUUUGCCUCUAUACCCCUGGCUCACUCGACUACACUGAAGGAGAACUAUGAAGCGGUGAAGUAUGUGCUGGAGAAAAUUGGUUAUGAUCAGCAUAAGUGGUUUAUUUGUGUUGACCUGAAGAUGGUGAACUUUUGUUGGGACAACAGUCUGGCUUCACCAAGUACCCAUGUUUUCUGUGCAUGUGGGAUAGUAGGGACCGUGCUCAGCAUUACACGAAGAAGGACUGGCCUGUGCGGGAGGAAUUGGUGCCUUGCAAAGAAAGGAACGUCAUCAACGACCCUCUGGUGGACAGAGACAGAAUACUCUUCCCACCGCUGCACAUCAAGCUCGGUUUAAUCAAGCAGUUCACCAAGGCUCUGGACAAGGAUGGUGAUUGCUUCACUUACUUGUGCCAGGCUUUUCCAGGAUUGACCAUGGAGAAGUUGAAAGCUGGCAUCUUUGACGGUCCUCAGAUCCGUCAGCUCAUCAGAGAUCCAGAGUUCGGAAACUCAAUGAACGAAGUGGAACUGGAAGCGUGGAAGGCAUUUGUUCUGGUAGUGAAGAACUUUCUUGGCAACAAUAAGGCCAGAAACUACGCAGAACUUGUCAACCACAUGCUGACUGCUUUCAGAAACCUGGGCUGCAACAUGAGCGUCAAGAUGCACUACCUAUUUUCACAUAUGGACCGGUUUCCUGAAAACCUGGGUUCAAUGAGUGACGAGCAGGGGGGAGAGAUUCCAUCAGGACAUGAAAGAGAUGGAGACCAGGUAUAAGGGUCGCUGGGACGCAGUCAUGAUGGCUGACUACUGUUGGACUCUGAAGAGACACCUCCAUGCCGCUGAGCGUUCCAGGAGUUCCAAGAAAUGGAAGUUCAAGCCCUGAAGUUUGAAAAAUGGUGAAGCAAAAUGCAAUUUACGUGUACUUACCUUUAUCAAUGCCCACCAUUCAGUUUACAGUAAACCUGACCUGAUGGAGAGAAACGGAUGCCAUUUCCUGAUUCAGCAGUGCAAAAAUACCCUAAAUCAGUUGUAGAAAUCUAGACAACAUUCAAAAAGUAAAAAAUUGUUGCCCAGUGUUAUCCAUAAACACCUGAAUGGGAAGUUCACAUUUUAUGCCCAAAUCAAUCAAUAACUAUAGAAAACCAGUUCUCUGCAAAGUUCACUUAGAGCAGCGUAUUCUGCUUCUGUGGAAAAAACACUCACAAUGCCCUGCUUCCUGGACUUCCAGCCCACUAGGGAUCCUCCAAACAUAAUUACCAAACCGGUUAUUGAUUUAUUUAUCAGAUAAAUUAGCCCAAUCGCUGUCCAAGUAACAUGUCAGCACUUCUUGGCCUGCUGAGGACAAUUUUAAGGAAAAAUCAGCUGUUUGUUUUAGAUAUCUCAGAACUCUUUUAACGGCCUUCCAAGCCAAAACAGUGGGUUUGGCCACUAGCCUACUCAAAAUUCCAACUGUGUAGCAGAUGUCCAGUCUGCUCCAUUGAGAUAUGUAUAUCAAACUGCCAAUGGCUGACUGGUACAGAUCUGGGUGCUCAAAUACUGGGCUUUCUUCUGUUUCUAGCCCCUUGACAAAACCAACUUCCAUCAGCGUUCUUGCGCCUUUGCAUGCCAUACCCUGCCAGCAGCUGCACAAUCUUAGUUUUCUGGCUCAGCAGAAAACUGCCAUCGUUGGCCCUGCGCACAUCCACGCCCAAAUAGGUUUGUACACAACCCAAAUCUCGAACCUUGAACCUCUGGCCCAGUUGUGUGGAAAAACUUUUGAUUUGAUUGUCCCCUUUGGCCAUGUGUAAAAGAUCAUCAACAAAAGCUAAACAGAAUUCCUGCUUGUCUCCUGCCCCACGCACAUACAUGCAGUUGUCAGCUAUGCUGCGUUUAAACCCUAAAGAUAACAGAGUUUCGUCCAGACAUUUGUUCCAAUUGCAGGCAGAUUAGCAUAGGCCAUACAGAGCUUUGUGUAGCCAAUACACUUUGUCUGAGCCUGUCUCAAAACCUGGUGCUUCCGACAUAUACAACUCUUCCUUCAGAUCUGCGUUCAAAUAUGCAGUUUGGAUAUCAAAAUGAUUGACUUUGUACGUGUGUUUCGCUGCAAUGGUGAGGAGCAAGUGCAUGCUGUCACUCCAUGCAGUAGGCGCAAAUACCUCGUCAAAAUCAAGACCUGGCCUCUGGGGAAAACCCUUUGCUACCAGGUGUGCCUUGUGUUUUAACUCCGCCUGAAGCAAGAGGCUUUAACCUGAAUACCCAUCUACACCCCACUGCCUUCUCACCUUUGGGCAGUGAAGUGGAUGUGAACACCUUGUGCUCCCGAAGAGUUUGCAUCUCUUCUUUCAUUGCCCCUUCCCAGAGCAAAGCUGCUUCUCGUGACAACUAUAUCAUUUCUUGGUAGCUUUGGGGUUCACAAAUUACCUUAUACACAUACUGGGCCCCGAUGUAGCAGGUGGUUCCGCUAAAUUGCGAACCACCUGAAAAAGUCUCCUGCUGCUGUUUUCUGCAGAUGUAAUAGAGGCGGUGAAGAAAUUCUUCUUCGCCGUCGCUACCGCCACUUGGUAGGCUCGACAUCGAGCUCUAACCCGUGUCCGGUCAGCUUCAGAAUGGGUCAUCCGCCACCGGCACUCUAGCCAUCUCAACGAUUGUUUCAUUGCCCUCAUAUCCGUGGAAAACCACGGGGCUGUCCGGGCUCAAUGCAAUCGGAGAGGGCGCUUCGAAGCCAAACAGUCAAUAGCUCUGGUUAACUCCACAUUCCAGCGGGCCACCAGGGAAUCAGCUGAAAGGCCAUCAACAUGGGAUAAAGCAUCCCCUACCACUCUCUGGAAACCAUUUGGAUCCAUUAAGUGGCGGGGGCGGACCAUCCGAAUCGGUCCCACCUCCCUGCAGAGGGGAAGGGUCGCGGAGAAGUCAAGUUGCACCAGGAAGUGAUCUGACCAUGGCACUUCUUUCGUUUUGCUUUUACUUAGUGUCAGAUCACCAACAUCCAUAGAGGUAAACACCAGGUCCAAGGCAUGUCCGCGGCUAUGGGUUGGGCCAGACUUAUUCAGGGACAGCCCAAUGGAGGCCAUGCUUUCCACAAAGUCCCGAGCGGCCCCUUGUAAGGUCGUGUCAGCAUGGAUAUUAAAAUCUCCUAGGACAACCAAGCUAGGUGUCUCCAGGAGAACAUCCGCCACGACCUGAAGCAGCUCGGGCAGGGAAUCCUUGGUGCAGUGGGGAGGUCGGUACACCAAAAGGAAUCCUGUACUGCCCCUAUUGCCCAACUUCCAGAACAUGCACUCAGAGAACUGGGUCUUCCCAAUAGGAUGCCUGGUGCAAACUAAUGACUUCCUAAAAAUCACUGUAACCCCCCUCCCCACCCACAAGGCCUGGGUUGCUGUGCGUAAGAGAAACCUGGUGGGCAAGCAGCGGCAAGGACAGGCCCAUCUGUUUCAUCCAACCAAGUCUCUGUUACACAUGCCAGUUCAAGUCCUCCAUCCAUGAUCAAGUCAUGGAUGGCAGUGGUUUUAUUCAUCAUUGACCUGGCAUUGCACAGCAGCACCUUCAGGUCAUGUGGGUAUCCCUUGCUGAUUCUAGUAUCCGUCCGGUCAGGACCAAACCCGGAGGCAGGGAUAGUCCUCAGACAAUGACUAAACCUGCCUCCUCUGUAAUGACAUGGUCUGGUCUUAGCGUAACUCCUCCUCCUACCCGUGAUCACUGAGAUCGGUUGUCCCAGCGCAUCCCCCUUUGUGGAACAUGCCCCAGCCAUUUUGUUGGCUGGGACCCACUCCCCGGCAGCCCUGACCCCUCCCCUUAAGAACAAAAUAAGACCUUAAAACAAAAAACAAAACACCCCCCCCCCCAG